rnacentral:rRNA from 1 species
UUUUGGAGCCAGCCGCCUAAGGUGGGACAGAUGAUUGGGGUGAAGUCGUAACAAGGUAGCCGUAUCGGAAGGUGCGGCUGGAUCACCUCCUUUCUAUGGAGAAUUGAUGAACGAUGUUCAUCAAUAUAAGUUUCCGUGUUUCGUUUUGUUCAGUUUUGAGAGAACUAUCUCUCAUAUAUAAAUGUAUGUUCUUUGAAAACUAGAUA